CCCAUUAUCUUCUUUUCUGAAUUUUUGCAUUUUUAAAUUAAAUUAAAAUUAAAAUUGAAAUAUAAAAGGGUAAUGGAAAGAUGAACAGCCACCUAUAUAAAAAGACAAAUGAUCGCUUAAUAGAUGUGUAUCUCUUCAGUGUCCUUUAGUUUUGCCUCUUCGUAUCAAAUCAAUCAAAAUCUCUGGUCAUAUAUGCACACACACUAUUUCAACUCAAUAUCCCAAGUAAAACUGAUCAUGCCAAGAUGAUACUCCGAGGCUGCUUCCCGAUGCGUUUCUUGAUGCCAAAAUGGUUGCAAUAUAUGAGUGUGGCUGCCAAAAUGGUUGCAAUGUGUGAUAGUUACGGUGAAGUUAGUUAUGUAGCCAAACUGUUUGACGGAAUUACUCAACCAUCUGUUUUUAAUUCAAGUUCACAUCUCAAAGCUAGCAUCAAAAAGAUUUCAGCCGCGUCCACUGCUCUGAUCCUGAUGGUGCCGAUUCUUCCAAGAUUUUGUGAGAAGAUAUAUAGAAUGGCAGAAGGAGGAUCUGAUUAUUGUUCUAAAAAAUCUGAUGAUUUCUGUGGAGGUGCUGCUAUUGAGGUAAAGAUUCAUUCUCUUAUGAUACCAAUUGAAGUCUGGAAUUACAUUGCUGAGACUUUUUUGUUUUGUGAUGUUUCAUUAUACCAACUGAUUUUCUCCUGUCAUAUGUUAAAUUCCUGCGAAAUGGGGUAAAAUUUGAGUAUUUAAAAUCCGUGGUUUAUGAUUGUGUGUGUUAAUUUUCCAAGUUUAAUUCAAAAUAUUUGAAAUUCUGCUUCCAUCCAUUGGGGAUUUAUGAAAGCCGAAAGCAUAUGUUUUGUUUAGCUUUCGCACAGGUGGAUGUGCGGAAACAGAUUUGUUUGCCUAGGAACUAGGCUGAUGCAACUCAUGGAGAGAAGGUUUGUGAAUUCGUUGCCACCCUGAAGUUUUUUGACAGAUUUGUUUCGUUAGAGCAAGAGCUUGCUCAAAUUAAAACUUCCGCUGUAUCAAAUGGAUCCACAAAGUAUACCGGCGGUUCAUAUGGAGCUGAUAAUGCUAUGCAAGAUGAAGAUUCCAAGGAUCAUCUUAAGCAUGUCUUGGAAACUCAAAAAAAAUUGUACUCCGGGAAGAAGAGGCAAUAGCUUAUGCUGAUGCUUUUGGAGCUUCGCAUUUAAGGGUAGCAUAUCUACACUUCAAGGCAUUAUGCAAUAAAAAGAAUGGUGACGGCUUGUGGAGGGACAACAUACCAAGAAUGCCGGCUUUGUGUCAUAGGUCCAGAAUUCAUGAUUAAUGUCCAGGAUGGCAGCCUCUUUACAGGGGAACCAACUGAACCAAUCGAUGUAUCAGCAUCAAAAUCGACUACAAGUCAUGCUAAUUUCAACAAUAACCAAGGAUCCUCUAUGUGUUUUAAGCAUGACAAGAUUAAGUAUUAUGCAAGGUCUCACUAAAUUCUUCAACCCUAAGAGUUCAGGAAGUAAUAUGCAAAGGUGCCAACCUAUUCAAUAUGCUUCCUGAGCAAUAUAUCUUUAAGGAAAUCAUCAGGAUUAUGGGUCCUAUACCACAUUCUUACUCCGCUUUCUAUCUUACAACAAAUCUUUUGGAGAAUUCCAAUAAAUACAAGUUCCGUUCGCCAGGAAAUUACACAAGAAAAGACGGUGGCUGAUAACUUCUCAAGGGCAUCUGCUUCGUCCACUUCUGAGAAAAUUGAAGAUGCAGCUAACAUGAUUGUAAAGGGUUUUUUUUUUGGUCCGAUUAGCAGAUGACUCCAAUAUGAUCUUCAUUUCAUUCUUCAAAAACAUUCCGAAGAUUCUAUAAAUUCUGGAGUGCGAUUCGUAUAAUUGUAUAUAACAUCAAGAGAGUUGGUUUUGAGUUAGGAAUGAGCAGCACCCCCUGUAACAGUGGAAUGUUUCCAGGGAAUGACUGUGCUGCUAUGGCCGGUGUUUUACUGUCUCAUGCAUCUCUCAAGACUUUUUAUCCAAUUUUUCUAUUUUUCUAUGCAUUGUUGUUUUUUGUUUGUGUGUCAAGGAUUUAAAUUAAACAUAUGUUUCUUUUAA